rnacentral:rRNA from 1 species
GAUAAACGCUAGCGGCAGGCCUAACACAUGCAAGUCGAGGGGUAGCAGGAUUAAGCUUGCUUAAUUGCUGACGACCGGCGCACGGGUGCGUAACGCGUAUGCAACCUACCUUAUACUGGGGUAUAGCCCGGAGAAAUUCGGAUUAAUCCCCCAUAGUACUAAUGAAUCGCAUGGUUUAUUAGUUAAAGCAUUGCGGUAUAAGAUGGGCAUGCGUCCUAUUGGCUAGAUGGUGAGGUAACGGCGCACCAUGGCUAGGAGAGGUAGGGGGCCUGGGAGGGUGGUCCCCCACACUGGGACGGAGACACGGACCAGACGCCUACGGGAGGCAGCAGUGAGGAAUAUUGGUCAAUGGGCGCAAGCCUGAACCAGCCAUGCCGCGUGCAGGAAGAAUGCCCUAUGGGUUGUAAACUGCUUUUAUUUGGGAAUAAACCUCUUUACGUGUAGAGAGCUGAAGGUACCAAAUGAAUAAGCACCGGCUAACUCCGUGCCAGCAGCCGCCGUAA